rnacentral:rRNA from 1 species
GAUGAACGCUGGCGGCGUGCCUAAUACAUGCAAGUCGAACGCAUUGUGGUUGAAAUGAUAUGAAGAACUUGUUCAGAUUUGAUUUUCAACAUUGCAAUGAGUGGCGAACGGGUGAGUAACACGUGGGAAACCUACCUCUUAGCAGGGGAUAACAUUUGGAAACAAAUGCUAAUACCGUAUAAUAAUUAAAACCGCAUGGUUUUAGUUUAAAAGAUGGUCUUGCUAUCACUAAGAGAUGGUCCCGCGGUGUAUUAGUUAGUUGGUGAGGUAAUGGCUCACCAAGACAAUGAUACAUAGCCGAGUUGAGAGACUGACCGGCCACAAUGGGACUGAGACACGGCCCAUACUCCUACGGGAGGCAGCAGUAGGGAAUACUUCCACAAUGGACGAAAGUACUGAUGGAGCAACGCCGCGUGUGUGAUGAAGGGUUUCGGCUCGUAAAACACUGUUGUAAGAGAAGAAUGACAUUGAGAGUAACUG